GCCGAAGUAGCUCAGAUGGUAGAGCACCUCGCUGUUACGGCGAUGCAGGUACUGCCUGUCCGCCGCAGAUACGAGGUUGUCCCAGGUUCGAGUCCUGGCUUCGGCG
rnacentral:tRNA from 1 species